CAGCCCCUGGCCGCGCGCUGGCGCAGCCGCUGCUGGCAGCUGGAGCGGGAGCGCGCCCCCUCCCCCAGCCGCGCCAUGGGUGACGCGUUCCGGAGGGCGGAGUCGGGCACUCAGCUACUUGCACGACUUGAGGGCAGAAGUUCUCUGAAGAAUCUUGAACCUUACCUGUUCACUGAGGAGGGAUCUCCUGGUCAUGGAGAUGUCAUUGAAUUCCACGGUCCAGAAGGAACAGGAAAAACAGAAAUGCUUUAUCACCUAGUAGCCCGCUGCAUCACUCCAAAAUCAGGAGGAGGACUGGAGGUGGAAGUCAUGUUCAUCGACACAGAUUACCAUUUCGAUAUGCUUCGUCUGGUCACCAUUCUUGAGCACAGGUUGGCUCAGCCAACGGAAGAAAUGAUAAAGCGGUGCCUGGGGAGGCUCUUUCUUGUGAACUGCAAUAGCAGCACUCAGUUACUCCUCACUCUCUACUCUUUAGAAAACAUGUUUUGCUCUCACCCCUCUCUCUGCCUUUUGAUUUUAGAUAGCAUAUCAGCUUUUUACUGGAUAGACAGAAGCAAUGGAGGGGAGAGUCUUAACUUGCAGGAGAUGAAUCUGAAGAAAUGUGCCAACUUCCUUGGAAAGCUUGUGAGAGAGCAUCACUUAUCCCUCUUUGCAACAACACAGACACUGAUGCAGAAAUCUACAAACCCCGCAGAAAGAUUUUUUCCUUUAAAACUUCAGCACGAAACUGAUACCGACUAUAGACCUUAUCUUUGUAAAUCAUGGCAACAAAUGGUGACCCACAGGAUAUUUUUCUCUAAGCAAUGUAAUUCUGGCAACAGCAAAGCUUUUACAGUCAUUUCUUGCCACCUCAAAAGAAACCACAUAGUAAAACGUUCAUUUAGUGUUGCAGAAUGUGGAGUUCAGUUUUAACUUCAAUUUGUUUUUAAAAUGUGUGGCAAAUCCUGAUGCUUAAGGCCUGGUUAGCUCCAAGUAGUUUUUAGUACCUUUUAAACCCUUCGGUUGUUGUUGGCUGAUUAAGAAUUUUUGUUAUUAUUUUUGUUAAAAUUUAGUGAAGGGCAGAAAAUGGUAGAAGCUUUUAGACUGCUGUAGAUGUUCAGUCCAAACUAGCAUGGAAUGUUGAAAUUACUUGCUUGUGCUAAUGCAUAAAGAGAUUAAAUCAAUAAAAUUUUUAACCAAAGGCAUUUCAAACUCCUAGUAGCCUUCAGUAAUCCAACCAAUGCGAUCUGCAGCCAAAUGCACUGAAUUAAUGUCUGGGUCUUACUCCUUCACACACCUCCUCUUCCAAGCUACAGAAAUAGGAGCCUCGUUGUCUGGAGGGGAGACUGCAAAAAGGUGUGGUUCAACAAAACAGCAGUCACUGCUGCUGGAGGCAGGCAGGGCUCAACUGCCUGGGGCCUGCCAGAGAGCACCCAUGACCUGCUGCUCAGCCUCCCAGAGGCACUGCUGGCUGCUGAGUGCUCAGUGAAGAUUUCAUCCCCUACCACAGCAAGGGAGUGAGACCCUCCUGGACUCAGAAGGAUUUAGCAGAGAGGGAACUCAGCAGGAGCAGUGGAAUAACAUUCUACCUGGAUGUGCUCAUUCCCGGGCGGGUGCCAAACUCCUGCAAGGGCUGCCUGGC